CGUAACAAGGUCUCCGUAGGUGAACCUGCGGAGGGAUCAUUACACAAAUAUGAAGGCGGGCUGGAACCUCUCGGGGUUACAGCCUUGCUGAAUUAUUCACCCUUGUCUUUUGCGUACUUCUUGUUUCCUUGGUGGGUUCGCCCACCACUAGGACAAACAUAAACCUUUUGUAAUUGCAAUCAGCGUCAGUAACAAAUUAAUAAUUACAACUUUCAACAACGGAUCUCUUGGUUCUGGCAUCGAUGAAGAACGCAGCGAAAUGCGAUAGGUAGUGUGAAUUGCAGAAUUCAGUGAAUCAUCGAAUCUUUGAACGCACAUUGCGCCCUUUGGUAUUCCAAAGGGCAUGCCUGUUCGAGCGUCAUUUGUACCCUCAAGCUUUGCUUGGUGUUGGGCGUCUUGUCUCUAGCUUUGCUGGAGGCUUGCCUUAAAGUAAUUGGCAGCCGGCUUACUGGUUUCGGAGCGCAGCACAAGUCGCACUCUCUAUCAGCAAAGGUCUAGCAUCCAUUAAGCCUUUUUUUCAACUUUUGACCUCGGAUCAGGUAGGGAUACCCGCUGAACUUAAGCAUAUCA
rnacentral:rRNA from 1 species